UCAGGCAGCGACAUCCGCUUGUUCAUUCUUGCUCAGGACUUGCCCAAGAUCAUCUUGACUUGGCUCUUUUUGGUACACUGUGUUGCAUGCCAACAUUGAUGGAAUUUUUGACGCUGUCGGUUUGUCCAUUAAUUCACCUUGUGCUGCUCAUGUGGUGCGGGGUGAACGCCGUAGUGCCUCGUGAUGCCCUGGCCUUCGUCACUUCUUGUGAUGUUGGUUUGGGAGACACUGGGAACUCGAACUCUCGGAUAUAGAAAGUAAUGUUGGGCGUAUGGGGUCUAGCACUCCGUAAGCCCAGAUUGAGCGCUCUCGCCAACGACGUUGACAUCCAGGUUCUCAAAGUGUCGGGAUAGCUGGCUGACGUUGUUGGGCAGAGAGCUUCGAAAGACAAACUGUCGAGCCUCGUUUCGUAGAGGUCCUGAGGCGUACGACCGUACGACCAAAGGCUGCUCGGGUUGGGGUACCUCGGCAUGUUUGCCAAGGAAUGCUACCUGG
rnacentral:misc_RNA from 1 species